rnacentral:rRNA from 1 species
CCUACGGGUGGCAGCAGUGGGGAAUAUUGGACAAUGGGGGCAACCCUGAUCCAUCCAUGCCGCGUGUGUGAAGAAGGCCCUCGGGUUGUAAAGCACUUUCAGUGAGGAAGAACGCCUGGUGGUUAAUACCCAUCAGGAAAGACAUCACUCACAGAAGAAGCACCGGCUAACUCCGUGCCAGCAGCCGCGGUAAUACGGAGGGUGCGAGCGUUAAUCGGAAUUACUGGGCGUAAAGCGCGCGUAGGUGGCUUGAUAAGCCGGUUGUGAAAGCCCCGGGCUCAACCUGGGAACGGCAUCCGGAACUGUCAAGCUAGAGUGCAGGAGAGGAAGGUAGAAUUCCCGGUGUAGCGGUGAAAUGCGUAGAGAUCGGGAGGAAUACCAGUGGCGAAGGCGGCCUUCUGGACUGACACUGACACUGAGGUGCGAAAGCGUGGGUAGCAAACAGGAUUAGAUACCCCUGUAGUC